rnacentral:tRNA from 1 species
GUGGCAGUGGCUCAGUGGGUUGAGUCGGUUGUCUAUCAAUCGGAAGGUUGGUGGUUCGAUCCCCUCCUGGGAAA